UGCUUCUAGUAACCCUAUUAGAAGUUCAUCCUGCCCAGUGAUUCAUUUUCAACGGCCGCGGUAUCCUGACCGUGCAAAGGUAGCAUAAUCAUUUGCCUUUUAAUUGAAGGCUAGUAUGAAUGGACAAACGAAACUAAAACUGUCUCAUAUCUACCCCUAAAAAUUAGCCUUCAGGUGAAGAUACCUGAAUUUUCCUAAAAGACAAGAAGACCCCGUAGAGUUUUAGACCUCCUUUUAAUCUAUAAAUAUUUUGGUCUUUGGUUGGGGCGACCAAGGAUUAAUUAAAACAUCCUUUUACACCUAGAGUUAUUCCUCUUAUUUAAAGACCCUAUUUUAUUGAUCUUCAAAAACAACUACCUCGGGGAUAACAGGCUUAUCUUCCUAGAGAGUUCACAUUGACAGGAAGGUUUGGCACCUCGAUGUUGGCUUAGAGUACCCAGGAAAUGCAGCCGUUUCCUUGUGUUAGUUUGUUCAACUAUUAAAACUCU
rnacentral:rRNA from 1 species